rnacentral:rRNA from 1 species
AUUGAACGCUGGCGGCAGGCCUAACACAUGCAAGUCGAGCGAGCGGCGGACGGGUGAGUAAUGUCUGGGGACUGCCUGAUGGAGGGGGAUAACUACUGGAAACGGUGGCUAAUACCGCAUACUAUCGGAUUGCCCCUAUGGGAUUAGCUAGUAGGUAGGGUAACGGCUUACCUAGGCGACGAUCCCUAGCUGGUCUGAGAGGAUGACCAGCCACACUGGGACUGAGACACGGCCCAGACUCCUACGGAGGCAGCAGUGGGGAAUAUUGCACAAUGGGCGCAAGCCUGAUGCAGCCAUGCCGCGUGUAUGAAGAAGGCCUUAGGGUUGUAAAGUACUUUCAGUCGGGAGGCGUUACCGACAGAAGAAGCACCGGCUAACUCCGUGCCAGCAGCCGCGGUAAUUC